AUUGAACGCUGGCGGCAGGCCUAACACAUGCAAGUCGAGCGAGCGGCGGACGGGUGAGUAAUGUAUGGGGACUGCCCGAUAGCGGGGGAUAACUACUGGAAACGGUAGCUAAUACCGCAUACUAUCGGAUAACCCAUAUGGGAUUAGCUAGUAGGUGCGGUAAUGGCUUACCUAGGCGACGAUCCCUAGCUGGUCUGCGAGGAUGAUCAGCCACACUGGUACUGGGACACGGCCCAGACUCCUACGGAGUCAGCAGUGGGGAAUAUUGCACAAUGGGCGCAAGCCUGAUGCAGCCAUGCCGCGUGUAUGAAGAAGGCCCUAGGGUUGUAAAGUACUUUCAGUCGGGAGGCGUUACCGACAGAAGAAGUACCGGCUAACUCCGUGCCAGCAGCCGCGGUAAUUC
rnacentral:rRNA from 1 species